rnacentral:rRNA from 1 species
AUUAAAGAAAUUCGGUAUGAGAUGGGGAUGCGUUCCAUUAGUUUGUUGGGGGGGUAACGGCCCACCAAGACUACGAUGGAUAGGGGUUCUGAGAGGAAGGUCCCCCACAUUGGAACUGAGACACGGUCCAAACUCCUACGGGAGGCAGCAGUGAGGAAUAUUGGUCAAUGGACGCGAGUCUGAACCAGCCAAGUAGCGUGAAGGAUGACUGCCCUAUGGGUUGUAAACUUCUUUUAUAUGGGAAUAAAGUUGUCCACGUGUGGAUUUUUGUAUGUACCAUAUGAAUAAGGAUCGGCUAACUCCGUGCCAGCAGCCGCGGUAAUACGGAGGAUCCGAGCGUUAUCCGGAUUUAUUGGGUUUAAAGGGAGCGUAGGCGGAUUGUUAAGUCAGUUGUGAAAGUUUGCGGCUCAACCGUAAAAUUGCAGUUGAUACUGGCAGUCUUGAGUGCAGUAGAGGUGGGCGGAAUUCGUGGUGUAGCGGUGAAAUGCUUAGAUAUCACGAAGAACUCCGAUUGCGAAGGCAGCUCACUGGAGUGUAACUGACGCUGAUGCUCGAAAGUGUGGGUAUCAAACAGGAUUAGAUACCCUGGUAGUCCACACAGU